AACGAACGCUGGCGGCAUGCCUAACACAUGCAAGUCGAACGAGACCUUCGUGCCUAGUGGCGCAGCGGUGCUUGACACGUGGUAAGCUACCCUUAGGUUCGGAAUCACUCCCCGAAAGGGGUCCUAAUACCGCUUAAUGUCAUCGCACCAAAGAUUUAUCGCCUCUGGAUGGGGGCGCGUAAGAUUAGCCAGUUGGUAGGGUACAAGCCAACCAAGGCCAGGAUCCAGAGCUGGUGGGAUAGGAUGAUCAUCCACACUGGGACUGCGACACGGCCCAGACUCCUACGGGAGGGAGGGGUGGGGAAUAUUGGACGAUGGGCCAAAGCCUGAUCCAGCAAUGCCGCGUGAGUGAGGAAUGCCUUAGGAUUGUAAAGCUGUUUUACCCGGGAUGAUAAUGACAGUACCGGGAGAAUAAGCUCCGGCUAACUCCGUG
rnacentral:rRNA from 1 species